rnacentral:rRNA from 1 species
CCUANGGGUGGCUGCAAUUAGGAAUUUUGCGCAAUGGGCGAAAGCCUGACGCAGCGACGCCGCGUGACCGAUGAAGUCUUUCGGGAUGUAAAGGUCUUUUGCAGGGGAAGAAGGAUGUGACGGUACCCUGCGAAUAAGCUCCGGCUAACUACGUGCCAGCAGCCGCGGUAAUACGUAGGGAGCAAGCGUUGUCCGAAUUUACUGGGCGUAAAGCGCGCGUAGGCGGGCUAAUAAGUUGUGGGUGAAAUGCCGAGGCUCAACCUCGGCGCUGCCUGCAAGACUGUUGGUCUUGAGGUAUGGAGGGGAAAGUGGAAUUCCUGGUGUAGCGGUGAAAUGCGUAGAUAUCAGGAGGAACACCGAUGGCGAAGGCAGCUUUCUGGCCAUAUCCUGACGCUGAGGUGCGAAAGCUAGGGUAGCGAACGGGAUUAGAUACCCCUNUANUC